rnacentral:rRNA from 1 species
CGGGAUGCUGCAGCAGUGGGGAAUAUUGGACAAUGGGGGAAACCCUGAUCCAGCAAUGCCGCGUGUGUGAAGAAGGCCUGCGGGUUGUAAAGCACUUUCGGUUGGGAGGACUGCUUCUAGCACUAAUAUUGUUGGAAGUUGACGUUACCUUCAGAAGAAGCACCGGCUAACUCCGUGCCAGCAGCCGCGGUAAUACGGAGGGUGCAGGCGUUAAUCGGAAUUACUGGGCGUAAAGCGCGCGUAGGCGGCUAACAAGUCGGGUGUGAAAGCCCCGGGCUUAACCGGGGAACUGCAUCCGAGACUGGGUAGCUAGAGUAUGGGAGAGGAGGGUGGAAUUCCACGUGUAGCGGUGAAAUGCGUAGAGAUGAGGAGGAACACCAAUGGCGAAGGCAGCUCUCUGGGCUAAUACUGACGCUGAGAUGCGAAAGCGUGGGGAGCAAACAGGAUUAGAUACCCCAGUAGUC